rnacentral:rRNA from 1 species
CACGUAGGGCGCAAGCGUUGUCCGGAAUUAUUGGGCGUAAAGAGCUCGUAGGCGGUCUGUUGCGUCCGCUGUGAAAACUCGGGGCUUAACCCCGAGCCUGCAGUGGAUACGGGCAGACUAGAGGUAGGUAGGGGAGAGUGGAAUUCCCGGUGUAGCGGUGAAAUGCGCAGAUAUCGGGAGGAACACCGGUGGCGAAGGCGGUUCGCUGGGCCUUACCUGACGCUGAGGAGCGAAAGCGUGGGGAGCGAACAGG